rnacentral:hammerhead_ribozyme from 1 species
AUCCAACUGAAGAGUCCUAAAUAGAACGAAUCGCGAGUUCUAGAU